GACGUAGGGCGCGAGCGUUGUCCGGAUUUAUUGGGCGUAAAGAGCUCGUAGGCGGCUUGUCGCGUCGUCCGUGAAAACUUGGGGCUCAACCCCAACGCUUGCGGUCGAUACGGGCAGGCUAGAGUUCGGUAGGGGAGACUGGAAUUCCUGGUGGUAGCGGUGAAAUGCGCAGAUAUCAGGAGGAACACCGGUGGCGAAGGCGGGUCUCUGGGCCGAUACUGACGCUGAGGAGCGAAAGCGUGGGGAGCGAACAGG
rnacentral:rRNA from 1 species